AUACGGAGGAUGCGAGCGUUAUCCGGAUUUAUUGGGUUUAAAGGGAGCGUAGGUGGGAUAUUAAGUCAGCUGUGAAAGUUUGGGGCUCAACCUUAAAAUUGCAGUUGAUACUGGUUUCCUUGAGUACGGUACAGGUGGGCGGAAUUCGUGGUGUAGCGGUGAAAUGCUUAGAUAUCACGAAGAACUCCGAUCGCGAAGGCAGCUCACCGGGCCGGAACUGACACUGAUGCUCGAAAGUGCGGGUAUCAAACAGGAUUAGAUACCCUGGUAGUCCGCACAGUAAACGAUGAAUACUCGCUGUUUGCGAUACACUGUAAGUGGCCAAGCGAAAGCGUUAAGUAUUCCACCUGGGGAGUACGCCGGCAACGGUGAAACUCAAAUGAAUUGACGGGG
rnacentral:rRNA from 1 species